rnacentral:lncRNA from 1 species
AGAAUGUUCAGGUACUAAAACUUUUUUUUUAAGGACUAGCUGUUUUGAAAUUAUAGUAGAACCUAAAUAUUUAAAAAGGUCAGACAAAAGCCAGAGUUCACUAAGCUGAAAUUAAGCGAAGAGUUUUCCCUCUCCCAAUGAAUGUAAUACAGAAGGUAAGCAAGUAGAUAUUUCCAGUGCCCCAAGGGAACACGUCUGAGAACUCUACAGAAUUCUAAAGCAGAGGAAAACCAGCAAUGAUGGUGUCGUGAGGAACAUGUGGCAGAGCUGCCGUCUUCCCUGGGCCCCCAGGGGCACAGCGUUAACAAGUAUGAAAAACAGCUUCGGUCUGGUAAUCUGAAAAGGGAGAUCUUCCAGCUGAAAUAAAGACUUCAAAAAGUCCGGUAGUUGAAGGCAGUUCUGAAUGGAGAUCUCAUAAUUCCCAAGGAAAUAAUGGUCACUUUAUACCUGAAUGACGUGUGGACCUGGUUACAGCUGGAGAGAAAGUCAUAUCCAAGAGCCAAGUUAAUUGCAGCAACCUCUUCUCUUUAGGUCCCUACUUAGCCACUCAUCACAUUUCCCCUCUUCAAAUCCAAGCAUCUCUUAUGUCAAUAACAGUGUCUCCCAUAGAAGAUGCCAUGAUGAGCUUCCCGGACAUCAUAGCUGAACUCCCUCCAGAAAUCAUCUUCAGCUGAAAGGAGCCACCUCACUCAAGGUUACAACCCCUCCCCCAGGCCUUCUACUGUAUCUUGACCUCCCACCAUCUCCUGUUUCUCAGAUGAAGAAACCAAGGCACAAAAGCUUUAAGUGGCUCUACUUAAGUCAUAUUGCCAGAAGUGGCAGCGCUAAGGCUAGAUCCCAGAACCCCAGAUGUUUCAUGUCCCACUCCACAACAUGAACUAGCUCUCCUGCUCAGUGUGCUCAGAAUCAGCUGGACUCUGGCUGCCUUUUCCAAACGGGAUCAGUGGAAUGGCAUUCUCACUUAGAUCGCAGAACUCCUCACCAAAUAUAAAACUGAAAAUGUAGGCCACCUGCCCAUGUGAUUGUAUUUCAUAACUCAGAACUAACAAUAGCUUUCAGCUUGCUU